UGGCAGUGAUGACGAAUUCAUAUACCAUCAAACUAUGAAAACUUUGCCUUCUUUGUAGGGUGAGUUUAUUGAUGUGAACAUGAAUAUCUUUCUGAGCCU
rfam:Cucumis sativus cultivar 9930 chromosome 7, whole genome shotgun sequence.